rnacentral:lncRNA from 1 species
AAACAUUAAAUCGCCAACCAAUGUGAAUUCUUAUAGUAAAAAAGCCAAGAUAUAAUCAAGUAUCAAUGCACAAAAAAUUAUGUAAAUAAUGAAAAGAAGGGCAUGGUGCCUGCUCAGGACUUGUUAUAAGAAGAGGUGGUGGGAAGGGUUCCCCACCGAGAGAGAGAUGAAGGUGGUUUUGAUGGCCAUUGUUCUCUUUGGUGCUUUAGCCUUGGUUAGUGAAGGAAGGAUGAUGGCAAAUAGUAAUCAUAUGCCAAAACAGCCUGAAACUUUCAACGGUGGUAUUAUUCCGGGAAUUGGGGGUGAAGGUGUGUUUCGAGGAAUUUAUGGUCAACCUGGGCUAGGGUUUGGUGUGCCUGCACUUGGGUUUGGUGUGCCUGGGCUCGGGCUCGGGCUCGGGUCGGGAGGUUACGGGAUCGGUUUUCCGCCUCCGAACUAUGGAUUUGUCCCCCGCCAUGGCUCUAGGCCUGGAGGUAGGCUUCCAUGAUGAAAUUGUGCUUGCUUUCAUGCAAAUGAGGUGUGUUUGUUUUCUCAGUUGUUUUAAAGGUGUUUGUUUUCAAAUGUGAGGUGUGGUUUGUGAUAAGUUGGUUGAGAUGGGAAGUGGAUGCUUUUUAUUUGAAGUAGGGUUUGUUGGGUCCUUUGUGUUUGGGAAGUUUGGUUUUGUAGUUGGUAGAAUGUGUGUACUCCAUGCUAUAAGGUUGUAUGCAUCUUUUAUGGCUACAAUAAAGAGGUUUACCUAAUAUUUUUGCUCUCUCUCUCUACUAGCAUGCGUGUGUGAAGCCCAGGGUUCGACCUUUCUCCAAAGCGAACCCGACCACCUCGCCUUUUCUUUAAAAAAAUAUUGAUUCUUGUUACUUUAAUUCUGAUCGAUAACCAUAAUAUAAAAAAUCGCAAUGACUUUUUUUUUUUUUGAGAGAGAGUAUGCGUGUUUCAUUAAGAUAAUGAAGAGAAUACAACAGAAGAAAAAAAACUAGAGAUCCAAAAUAAAACAAAACAAGGGCAGUGAAGCUGUAGACAAAAAGAGAGCUUGCAAGUUUAGGUAGGCUAUCUGUGUCGACGUUGAAGCCCCGAAUAACAUGAAUAAAACGCACAUCACGGGAUUGCAAACAGAGAAUGAUUUCAUCCAUGAUGGCGCUAAGUUUCCGAGGCAUAAGAUUCAGCCUUAAGCACCAUUUGGUAGAGUCUCCCUCUAAUGACCUUCAAUUGCAUAGAAUGCAGCCUCUUGACACCUCCUAUAGUUCACCCCCACCAUGAGUAACCAAAACUUGAGUAGCCUUAGUAUUGCUACUACAACUCCCUUCUGUUUUUUAAUACCAUUAAUAUUGCUACAAUAACUCAAAUAUACAAAAUAUGGGCCCCAACAAGCUUUUGUCUUUACAAUUAAACGUUUCGUUCGCGUUAAAAUGUUUUUUAGACAUCAUUUUCACAUGAAAAAAUUAUCUCAUGAGGUCAAGUGUGGGAAUAUUUUCACACCAAUUGGUCGUAGUGUAUCUUUUCGUAUCCAUUGAUAACUAAUUGAUGUUAAAAUAUUCCCAAACUUGACCACACGAGAGAAUUUUUUCAUGCGAAAUUGUUUCUUAAAAAACAUUUUCACAUGAACCAAACGUGCCAAGGGAAAGGGUUUCCGGUGGGGAAAAAAUAUAAGAAGAUCAUCACGGGUUUUCAGGUGCCGUGAGACACUUUAGAUUUAUCACGGUAUUUUAAGUGUUGUAUAACCUUUGAGAGUAAUCACCGCACUUUUGAGUAUCGUGAUGCAUCAUACCUUUACGGUAAUACAACUACAGUGAAUGCUAUUGUGGUCAUAAAAAACCUAAAAAUGGGAGAAAACGUAUGGACGAAGUUUAAAAAAAUAUAAGGUUUUUUUUUCCUAAUAUUCCAACAAUUAAGGUAUAUUUCUGAUAAUUUUCCUAUAUUACGUUAUAUUAUAUUAUAUAUUUAUAGUUAUUGCAUUACAUUAUAUGGGUGCGGUUUGUAUAGAGCCGAGGCUCUAAACACUCAAAGUAAUGCGCACCUUCAAAUAAUAUUGAGAAAUGCGGUUUCAAUACUGGAAACCUUUGUGAUAGCCUUAAAAUAUAUUUUCAUAUUUAAUUUUAAAUUUUAAAGCUUAAAAAAUAGUGUAGAUCGAGCAGAUCUAUGAAAACUUGAAAAUCUUGAAAAUUGACAGUCCAAAAAUACAUUAUAAGAUGCACUCUUUCCAAAAUUUGAAAUCCAUUUUUUCUCAUGCCCAUGCAUCUUGAUGUUGAGAUGAUCAAUUUGAGGAUAUUUGGACAUCAAAACCAUUUCUUCUAGUGAAAUUUUUGAGGUGGGCUCUAAUUUAAUUGUUUAGAGCCUUGACUCUAUAUAAACUUUUUUCAUAUUAUAUUAUAUAUUAUAUAUUUAUAUUUAUUCUAUUAAUGGAACUAGGAAACCCAUAAAAGAAGAUAUAACCAUAUCUUAUUUAAAAAGAGAAAUUAAUGAUACUAAAGAAGAAAUCAAAAUUUUAAAAGAAAGAUUAAGAAUUUUAGAAGAAAGUUAUAAUCCUAUAAAACAAGAAGAAAUUAACGAACACACAUACUUCCUUAAUAAUUUACAAUUUAAAGUUAAAAAAUGGUUUGUGAAGAUAGAAUUAAAGAUUAAAAAUUUUACUUUAUCUCAAAUAGCUUUAAUAGAUUCAUGUGCCUACUUAAAUUGUAUAAAAGAAGAACUUGUUCCUUCUCAAUAUUUUUGAAAAAAAGAUUCAAAACUUUAUACUGCUAAUUUAAAUAAAUUAAAAAUCAAAUAUAAAGUGUCAAACACCUAAGUAUUUAAAGAUGGAUUAGAUACAAGUUUCUUACUAGUGAAAGAAAUUAAAACUCAAAUAUGAAGUGUCAAACACCCAUGUAUGUACAUAAAUCCAAGUUAUGUAUUUCUACAAUUGUAAAUGGCCAGGGAGUAAGCAUACUUAUUUGUCAACAAUGGCCUGUUCAACUAGGCUCUUGAUCAAUGCUAUUAUCAUAAUCAUAAGCCAAAUUGUAAGGGCAUGUUGAACGGACCGAUCGAUGUUUAUUCAAUCAUGUGCCCCUUUUAAGUAGGGGAAAUGAUUUUUUUACAACAAAAGAAAAAGAAAAAAGAAAGAAGUUUUUUACAAUAUAGGCAGAUUCAAUAUAAAUGAAAAGGAGCGCCUAUAGUGUGCUUCUGUGGGAGCAUACACUUACUUGCACAAAAAGAGCAAUUUGGGAGUAUUUUUUAUCUAAAAUUUUGAUAUCAAAAAAAAAAAAAGAGAAAAAAAGAAGAAGGAAAAUGAACUCUACCCCAUCCCCGAAAUUUCUAUCCCUGUUAGCCAUUUAGAUUCAUGAAAAUCCCUAGUACCCCCUUAAGACCAUUAGCCCCAGUUAUUUUUUUUUUGUUCUUUUUACAAAUUUUAUCUUUUUAUUUUACAAAAUGUCAAACCUAUCCAUUGUUCAAACUCCCUUCCCUUUCUCUUCUGCUGCCCAAAACCAAUCUUACCUCCAUGGACCCCCUCUACAAAUUUAUACAUGAAAACAAAAUGUAUUGUUAUUUAAUAUUAUGACUUAUUUUGCAAUUGCUUCAAUAUCUUUUAAACUUGAAAAAUGAUUAAUCAAGAUCUUUAUUAUUAUUGUUAAUAAAUUAUUAUUUAUUUAUUCAUUUAUUAUAGAAAUUUAUCAAAAUAUUUAUAAGAGAUGAAGUAUUUAACAAUUAAUAUAAGAGAAAGCUUUCUAUGUUUCUCCAAUAACAUAAGACUUAUAUACUUCCCUAUAUCCAACUGUCUAUUCUGAAUGGAGGGCUAAGAUUGCUCCAAUCACAAUGUCACGUCUCUACAGUAUUUUAUUUUUAAUUUUUUUCUAUAAACUCUUUUGACACCAAAUUUUGUACGUCGAAUCCUCUAUUAAAUUCGCACUAGCGAAAAAUAGAAAAACAAUAUUUUCAAUAAAUUAAAUGAUCAAAAUACCCCUAAAAAUUUUAAGGGGUAUUUUCGUCAUUAUAUUUUAUCGAAAAAUUAUUUUUAAUAUUUUUUAUAAGUGCGCCCCAAUGAGAAGAUGGGGCUUACCAAAUUUCAUAUUUUUUAUAAAAACAACUAAAAAUAAAAUACUUUGAGAUGUCGGAUCUAAGAUCAGUUGGACGGUAGGUGAAGCAUAGUGUAGGGGAAGUAUGGAAACCUUUUCCUUUCAUCUAUAAGAAAUAAAACAUUUUUAGUGUUUUCAUCCAAAUUUCCACAGUUCGAUGACCUUUUCUCAGAGCAUAUUUCAAAUUUAAAAAUAUUGGGACAAAAAAGUAUUUAGCUAUUCGUGAUUUUAAAGGGCAAAGAAGCUAUACUCGAUGUAUUUUUUGAUAAAAGAUAAAAAAUAAAAAAAAAUUGCUACACUGGAUUUUACCUUUCUUUUUUUGAAGCUAAUUUACAUUAUCAUUUACAAGAAAAAAGAGGAAAGGAUAAUAGAUAAAUUUCCUGAAAUUAAGCAAAUAAUUCAACGAAGUCAACAUAUAAAUUAUUUCUUGAAUGAAAUCAUAUGAAAAGGAAAACUAACAAAUAUCACUUGGUCAAUAUAGAAGAUCUACGCAAAUUAUUUAAAACUCAAUAAAAGCUUUUUAGCUUGAAUAAAUAUCAUUCAAAUCUACCUAUAUUUGAUCGUUACUAGGAAGAAAUGUAUGAAAUCUUAGAAAAACAGAAGUCAAACAAAACGAGACUCUCAAAACCAAACAAGACAAAGACCAUGAAAUUCUUCCAUUUUAAAAGCGUCAACAGUCAUCGAUGAAUGAAUUUGCAGAGACAACACAAUGUAGUAAUAAAAUAGUAAAUAUUCAAGAAAAAUAUAAAAAAAGAAAGCUCAUCUCUUCAAAAUUACAAGAAACAAGAUAAAGCAAUCACAAAAGAGAUAAAUAUGAAGAAAAAACUCAUGAAAUCCUUUAGAUAAUCAUGAAAAAAAUCAGGACGGUAAAAAUUCAUGGUAAUUCCAUAAAGACCAUACUAUGCAAUCUUGAUACUUUUAAUACAUUUUUUUUAAUAGAGUUUCAAUGAUGGAGAUACAAUUUUUUUAAUACAGUUUCAAUGAUGGAGAAAACAUAGAAAAAAAAAAUGGAAAAGAAAUAAACCCUUAGAAUUUUCACUGAAAAAGAAAUCAGAGAAGUAUAAUGGUUAAAGAAUAACCUACUCACCAGUAUCCGAACCAAGGGUUCUUAGAUCUCUGAAGUGGAGCUUUAAUGGCCGAUUCUAGGCGGAAAACGCUGCGAUGAAUUAGGGUUUCAGUGAAGGGAGAAAUUAGGUUUGUUUUAAAAGGGGAAAAAAAAGGAAAAAAAAGAAAAAAAAGGAAAAACAAAGAAAAAAAAGAAAAAAAAAGUUCAAUGAAGGAUAAACUAGGGUUUGUUUUAAGAAGGGGCAAAAAAAAAUAAAAAAUAAAUAAAAUAGGGUUUGCUGUG